rnacentral:rRNA from 1 species
GACGAACGCUGGCGGCGUGCCUAAUACAUGCAAGUCGAGCGAAUGGAUUAAGAGCUUGCUCUUAUGAAGUUAGCGGCGGACGGGUGAGUAACACGUGGGUAACCUGCCCAUAAGACUGGGAUAACUCCGGGAAACCGGGGCUAAUACCGGAUAACAUUUUGAACCGCAUGGUUCGAAAUUGAAAGGCGGCUUCGGCUGUCACUUAUGGAUGGACCCGCGUCGCAUUAGCUAGUUGGUGAGGUAACGGCUCACCAAGGCAACGAUGCGUAGCCGACCUGAGAGGGUGAUCGGCCACACUGGGACUGAGACACGGCCCAGACUCCUACGGGAGGCAGCAGUAGGGAAUCUUCCGCAAUGGACGAAAGUCUGACGGAGCAACGCCGCGUGAGUGAUGAAGGCUUUCGGGUCGUAAAACUCUGUUGUUAGGGAAGAACAAGUGCUAGUUGAAUAAGCUGGCACCUUGACGGUACCUAACCAGAAAGCCACGGCUAACUACGUGCCAGCAGCCGCCGUAG